CCCGUCCUGAAGGCCUAGAGGGUGCCCCCUGUGCCCCGCGGCUCCCCAGCACCUGCUUCUCGUUUCACAUCUUGAAGUUUGACUGCCCUGACACUGCCAUACUGUAAGGAAGCUUAAAACAGCUCAUAUGGAGAAACCACAUGGAGAAGACCUGAGACUUCAGAGAAAGAGAGAUAGAUGCUUUGCCAGCUGCAUGCUAAUCCAGUUUCAAUCAUUGUUUGGCUGCAACAGCAUGAGAGAUCCCAAACUAGAACCACCCAGCUGAGCCCUUCCCAAAUUCUUCAGCCACAGAAAGUAUGAGAGACAGUAAAAUCGGUGUUUUUAUUUUAA
rnacentral:antisense_RNA from 1 species